rnacentral:lncRNA from 1 species
GUGCUAGCUGCAUUCCUGGCCUGGAAGCGAUGAGCCCGUCCUACCCCUGUGUCACUCUGGAUGGUUUUGCAGAGGUGCCUCACCUGAUCCUGGGUAGAUGACAUCACCCUACAGUCAAUCAAAACAACAAACCCAUGAAGGGCAGCUACAGCACGGGUGAAGUUUGAAAAUAUGCUCAAUGAGAGAAGGCAGCUACAAAAGGACACACAUUAUUCCAGUUCUGUGAAAUUCCACAGCAGGUAAAAACAAUGGGACCACAAGAUUGCGGCAACUACUCGAGGGGGCUAGGAAGUGGGUGUGGGUGGGGAAAUGGUUUUGGGGGGUAAAUAAAAGUUAUUUUGGAAUUAAACAGUGGUGAAGGCUGUAUAACCUUGCAAAGGUCCCAGUGGCACUGGGUGGAUACACUAGACGUGUGUAGUGUGAAUCAUAUCUGAUUUAAAAAUGAUUGCAUGUAACAUCAAAGGCAACAAUAAAAUUUCCUUCCUUCUC